GAUUUAGGCCUAGUUUGCACUAUUUUAGUCGAGUAUGAACGAUUUUUGGGCAUAGAUUUACGAUUCGGUACAUGUACCUAAUAGAUCGGUGAUGCGAAAGAGACAACGUUAUGAAAACCGUAUGUUAGAGGGAAAUAGACAACAAGACAACAGUAAAAUACCAUAAGGCCAACGAGGCCUUAUGAGUAAGAGCGCGCAAUUUAAAUACAGCUGUUUUUUUAUCCAGUUUUCAUAUUACAAGUGUAAAAUAAUGUGUAUUUGGUAGAACAACUGAAGUGUUAUAGUGUGCAGUGCCUGGAUGUAGAUCAUUGAAAGAGAAAACCCCCAAAAUUCUACUUUUUACGAAUUCCCGCAAAAUAAAGUUGUUCGAUAGAUAUGGCUCAAAAUAAUCCAGGGAAGGCAGGAUUUCCACGAUUUAUUUAAAAAUAUGCAGUAUAUUAAAACAAAAUGUUUUUCUUAUAACACCACACAAAGAGCAAAACUGCGUUCUGGUACUGUACCAACAUUAUUAAUGCCGAUCAUUAUACCUGUCCCAAGGACGACCACAUAAGAGAUGGGAGGAUGACCUGCCGAAAGGAUGGCGAGGAAAGGCCAGAGAUCGAGUAAAGUGGAAAAGUCUGGAGGAGGCCUAUGUUGAAGGACAACCUGAUUGCUCUGGUGUAUAAAUUAAGUAAUAGUAUUAGGUAUAUCAUAUGUAUUCAGCAGUCAGAGAAUAAAGGCUAUUUUUAUUUAUUUUAUUUUAUUUUAUACCUGUCCUAAGGCUGAGUCUAUGAGGCUAAUGAUGUGAAUGCCCCGAUCGAGAAAACCAUUUGACGCUCUUUUACUUACAUAUCCUACUAAUAUUAUAAUUGUGAAAGUCUGUUGUUAUUCUUAAUUCUCUAUGUGUGAAGCCAAUCCACAUUUAGCAAGUGUGGCUGACUAUUAGACUAACGCUAACCCCUCACAUUCUGAGAUGUGGCACAUGCUCAACAGUGAAUUGAAUAAGAGUUGUUAAUGAUGAAAGUUUGUAAGGUGGUCUAAUAAUAUAUGAGAGUUACUAACAGGGAUUCUGUUUGUAACUCUCUCGCGUAAAAUCUGCGUUUUCUACGGAUUUUGAUGACUCUGGACCACUAAGAAAAUGGAAAAUACUUAUUCAACAUUUCGAAUUGUUAUUGUUUUCACUUUGGUUAUCGAACAUCGAGUUUUUAUAACAUGCUGCCGUUUUGAGGUUAUAGGAAACUAUUUUGACUAUUUUCCGAUUAGGUCGGGGGUGUGAAAGUAUUCGUUAUAAAAAAUAAUCGCGAUGCCGGUUCUGCCUCUGCCUAUAACCCCUUUAACUCAGGUUAACGAAAGUCGAGUCUGGGUUCUUCAGUGAAACAUCAAACUCGAGUACCUACAUUUUAACUACUUAUUUUAUUUAACUUUGUUUGACAAAAGGUCUUACUUAAAUCUCUCGUGAUUAUAGAUAGGUUUUGGAGAGUAUUACAAAAAGUUUGAGGCGGCCAGGUGCUAUUAUAGGUACCUAAAUUAAUAAGUAAUGCAUUUAGAGACAUAAAACGUCAUUAAAGUGUAUUCACUCUAGAAAUACAUUACAGUAUUUAUACUAGGGAUGCAACAGAACGUUCUGCAAAAUUAUGUAUAAUAGGUACAUGAUGGAGGAUUUUUCUUUGUUACUCGACCUCCAGGUUCAGGGACAUAGGUAGUUUUUGAGCAGGUAUACCUACUAUAUAUAGUAGUAUAGCUACUAUUUUACAUAUUGCCUCGUUGGUCCAGUUAUGUGGCUUUGGAUCACCAGGUCCUGGGUCGGGCUAUACAUAUAAAACAGAAUUUCUUAGUAGAAAAACUAUAGGUAACCGAAUACCUACCUACUAAGUUUUUGUUUUAAGAAAUUUUCAGUUAAUAUUCCUAGCACGGAGUUGGGAAGUUGGAACCGUACCCCCCCGUAUCUCAAAGUGCUGUUAUAAGAUAACAUUAUGAGAGUUGUUUUUAGAGUUGGUUUUAUGGUAUUUUACUAUGGGGUAAUGCUGCUGAUAUUGAUAGUAUAUUUGUUCCGCAGAAGAGAGCUGUUCGUGCGAUAUAUAAAAUGGGACCUAGAGAAAGAAAGAGAAAAAAUUAAAGAAAUUAAAGUAAUGACUGUGCAUAGUCAAUAUAUAUAUGAAAAUUUAGUAUAUGUACAUAAAAACAUAGGCAAUUUUAAGAGGUGUGAUUGCAAUAACGUUAAUGUCAGAAAUAAAAAUGAAAUUGUUGCAUACCAUACUAAGUUACAAAAUAUUUGUAAUUGUUUAAGGGCAAUUGCAUACAUUUUUAUAAUGUACUACCAGAUGAAGCUACUGGAAUGUCUCUCAAUAAGUUCAUAAGUGUUUAUUGAACGCAAUUUUUUGGGAAAGGCUUAUUAUAGUGUUAAUGAUUAUAUUAAUGAUAAAAAAGCUUGAUGUUAAACUGUAUUAUACGAUUGUGUUAAAUGCUUAGUUUUAAAUAAGUUUGUAAAAUGGUGGUAAACAAAAAAAUAAUAAACCUUUCCUGAGUUUGUUGUGGAUUGAUUUUGCUAAGGGUAGGGGUAAGCUAGGGAAGGUAUAGGGUUGAGUAGGGUACGGGUGGAGUAGGGCAGGAGUAGUUUAGGGGUAGGGUAGGGGUAGAGGUAGGUUAGAGGUAGGAUAGGGAAGUGGUAGGGUAGGGGUAGGAUACGGGUGAGAUAGGGGUACGGGUGGGAAGGGGAGGGUAGGGGUAGGGUAGAGUUGAGUUGGGUAGGGUAGGGUAGGGGUAGUGUAGGGUAGGGGUAUUGUAGGGGUAGGAUAGGGGUAGUGUAGGGUAGCGGUAUUGUAGGGGUAGGAUAGGGUAGGGGUAGGGUAGGGUAUGGUAGAGUAGGGUAGGGAUUGGGGUAGGAUAGGGGGGUAGAGCUACGGUAGGGGUAGUUGAAAGUUUACAUCGAGUUUCACGCGGACGAAGUCGCAGGCGUCCGCUAUGUCUCACUAAUAUUUGACUUUUUGUUUUUAUUAAGUAAGUAAUCUAGUUUAAAUCUAUUUUGCAUCAUUCGUUACCUUACCUUAUCAGCGGAUAGACGUCUAUCGCUGGACAUAGGCCUCUUGCGUGGACCUCCAAGCACAACAGUCUCGAGCCGCCAGCAUCUAUAAUUUUUUUUUUAUUGCGGCUCCCUGCAACUCUCUUGAUAUCCUCGGACAAUCUAGUGGGGGGUCAACCAACACUGCGCUUUCUACUGCGGCGUCGCCAUUCCAGCAUCUAGGGAUCCCAACAUCUAUCGACUCUUCGAACUAUGUCCACCAGGUGGACUGACGUGAUCAAGCGAGUCGCAAGGUUUUGCUGGAUGCAGGCGGCGCAGGAUCGUGAUAUUUGGAAGUUCCUACAAAAGGCCUAUGUCCUGCAGUGGACGUCCAUCGGCUGUUAUGAUGAUGAUGACGAUGUAUUUUCGAUAAGUUAACCUCGUCCCCGUCAAAAAAAUUAAAGACAAUUUUGUUGGUGAAUUUGGGUGCGAUACUGGUUAAAUUAUUUAAAAAUGAAACAACAAUUACAUAUUGUGAUUUAUUUUAUAAUAAACUAGCGGACGCCCGCGACUUCGUCUGCGUAAAUUUCGAUGUCAACUUUACUACUACCCCUACCCUACCCUACCCCUACCUUACCACUACCCUAACCCUACCCAACCCCUACAUCUACCCUACCCCUACCCUUCCACUACCCUAAACCCGGCCCUAAACCUACCCUACCCCUACCCUACCCUACCCUACCCUACCACUACCCUAACCCUACCCAACCCCUACAUCUACCCUACCCCUACCCUACCACUACCCUAAACCCGGCCCUAAACCUACCCUACCCCUACAUUACCCCUUCCCUAUCUGUACCCUACCCUACCCUGUAACUUCUCUAUCUUACUCCUACCCUUAUCAAAAUCGGUCCAGUCCUUCGAGAGUGGUGGUAUGACCAAGAGAAAUAGAGACUUCUAUGCUAAUAAUAUAAAGAGGUAAAGUUUGUGUGGUUGUAGGAGGUAUUCUCUGGAUCUACUGGACCGAUUUGGAAAAUUAUUUUACCAAUAGAAAGCUACGUUAUUUGCGAGUGUCAUAGGCUAUGUUUGAUCCCCAUUCACACGGGAACGGGAACUACGUAAAUGAAAGCGACGGGCGUCAUAUAGCGGAAUUUCUGCGUCUUUUAGAAAUUUUGUAUUAUCUCCGAAACUAUUUAAGUAAUUAACAUACUGUAAAGGGCAAA